GCGUUUGCUGGGGGCAGAGCUAAGGGAGUCCUAGGAACAGAGCAGCAGCUAAUAGAAUGCAGGUCAUGAGGCACAGAGGCAAACUUUCCCAGGCUCCAAAUUUCACUGCAGAGUCUGGGAUGUGAAGAGCUGAGGGCCCUCUCUGAGGAGCAGCCUCUCGCUGUCCCCAGUAGUUUUGCCAACGGCCCAAGCUUCUACUCCGCAGCGCCUCUGAGGAGUGGCCUCUGUCAAGAUCACAGUAAAGGUCACAUUGCCCUGUCCUUCCUAAUUCACCUUGUGUCCCCUCUGUGCCUGCAGCUGCCUGCCGCGUGGCCCCCCUGGCGGACUGCAGCUCGGACUUCCAUGACGCUGGUUUGGUGAGCACUGAGCUUGUAAAGCCGGCAGAGAGGAGGGCUAGAACGUGAUGGCAUCCACUGCCGACUCCCAACUUCCGGACGGAAACCUCUGCACCCACACCGGCUCUUCUCCUUCCCUCGCCGGGUCUUUAAUUCAGGGAGACGGGGAGAGGAGCACAGCCCCCGUCCGAGAGAUUUAACAGGAAGCUUUAAUGAUGUAUUCAGAAUGAACAUUGACCCCAGGUAAGAGGUGCUAAACUGAUACUUUAAAAACACACCCUCCAUUUCGCUCUGAUGGACUCUCCUCCCUGAAUCACUGUGUUGUCAUUUUUACGACGCUGAUCUAGCUACUGAGGCUAUAGGACUGUGAAAUGUCAUAUAAAAAAGCCAAUAAGAAAAAAAUAAAAUUAAGUUGCAGGGAGCGUGCAUUAGCAUUUCAAAAAUGUUCUGUUGCAUUAUGCUAUUAUUCUCUUUCUGUCAAGGGGCACCGGGAUCCCAUCCUCCCCAUAAAGAGACUGAACCACUGAAUGUAUUAGUGCUCUAUCGCUGAAACGGAUUGGCGACUGAAGGGCACAGUUACGAUAAUGGCGAAUAUAUUCCAGACUAAAUUUGAUAGGACACUGGGGCUGUCCGCCUCCUCUGAUGACAAAGUCUCGAUUGCUUCUCUCCGUGUUGGCUCAGGCCUACGGCUUUCAGGGUGUCGACAAAUUAAUGUUUUCAGCGCUUCUGUCCCAGAGAAAAGUGAGGAAGGGGGUCUGCGGAGGCGAGGCUCUGACUGGUGUUUUGGUGGUGAUGUGGGGGUGAGACCCUGUGAAGUGAGACCAUCUUACCCUGCGCGCUCCUGUGUGGCAGCCUACAGCCCCCACCCUAAGGCCCAGAAGCACUUGAACGCUGGAUCUCAGAGGUUACAGGAUAAUUUCGAGCCCUGCUAGACCUGCUUCAUGAGCUCAGCUUGCAGACCUGGGCUGAACCAGAUCGGGUACAGUGGCUGCAGAUGGAGGACACUCCGCCUUCCCCAGCCUGGAAGAGCUUUCUCGGUCUCCCAGUUCAAAGCAAGGACCGGGAAAGAACUGCCUGGCCAUUUUGGGAAGCUCAUAGCCACAGGAAUAUGUGUUUUCCUAGAAGCAGCAGCGCACGUAACACUCACACUUGCUAAAGCCCCAGCACAUUCCUGGAUUGGCAGAAGGAGCCACUCACCGAGGAGCAGCGGGGAGGGAGCGGUGGACGGCACUCAGGGGCGGGAAGCCAGGCGUGUGCGCAUCGUGCUACGUGUUUAGCUACGCCAUCCUUUGCCGAGGCCCUCAACUGAUUAAUCCACGUGGCCUGUGCAUUGAGUCAGCAUUAUGUUUAAUCAUUUAAUUUCGCGAGAGUUUUCAGAUCUGUUAAUCAUCCUAAUAUUCUUAUUGCAACAUAUUACGAAGCUGUUAGUUCAGUCCAAUUAAAA